CAGUAGCCACGGGAAUACGUAGGGCGCAAGCGUUGUCCGGAAUUAUUGGGCGUAAAGAGCUCGUAGGCGGUCUGUCGCGUCUGGUGUGAAAUCCCGAGGCUCAACCUCGGGCUUGCAUCGGGUACGGGCAGACUAGAGUGCGGUAGGGGAGACUGGAAUUCCUGGUGUAGCGGUGGAAUGCGCAGAUAUCAGGAGGAACACCGAUGGCGAAGGCAGGUCUCUGGGCCGCAACUGACGCUGAGGAGCGAAAGCAUGGGGAGCGAACAGGAUUAGAUACCCCAGUAGUCCCUGUCUCUUAUAU
rnacentral:rRNA from 1 species